AUACGGAGGAUCCGAGCGUUAUCCGGAUUUAUUGGGUUUAAAGGGUGCGCAGGCGGCCAUUUAAGUCAGCGGUUAAAUCGUGGGGCUCAACCCCAUUCUGCCGUUGAUACUGGGUGGCUUGAUUGCGGUCGAGGUUGGCGGAAUUCGUUGUGUAGCGGUGAAAUGCAUAGAUAUGACGAAGAACACCGAUUGCGUAGGCAGCUGACCAGACCGCAAAUGACGCUCAUGCACGAAAGUGCGGGGAUCGAACAGGAUUAGAUACCCUGGUAGUCCGCACAGUAAACGAUGAAUACUUGUUUUCGGCGAUAUAAUGUCGGAGGCAAAGCGAAAGCGAUAAGUAUUCCACCUGGGGAGUACGACCGCAAGGUUGAAACUUAAAUGAAUUGGCGGGG
rnacentral:rRNA from 1 species